CACGUAGGGGGCGAGCGUUGUUCGGAAUCAUUGGGCGUAAAGGGUGCGCAGGCGGCAGUUCAAGUCUGGUGUGAAAUAUCUCGGCUCAACCGAGGGGACGCACUGGAAACUGGGCUGCUUGAGUACAGGAGGGGGAGUUGGAAUUCCAGGUGUAGGGGUGAAAUCUGUAGAUAUCUGGAAGAACACCGGUGGCGAAGGCGAACUUCUGGCCAUGUACUGACGCUGAGGCACGAAGGCGUGGGGAGCAAAC
rnacentral:rRNA from 1 species